rnacentral:lncRNA from 1 species
AUGUGCAGAACCUUUGCUCUGGGCUUAUUUCCGCUCUCAUUUCAUUCAUUGGCUUAUUCCAAAUUUAGGAUCCAGCCCCGCGCAUCCCAACCCUCCCCAAAUUCCUGCUCGGGGAUGGGGGCACCAGGACCCUUCUGUCCCCUCUCCCUCGGUGUCUGUGUCACCGCUGCCCCCUCCCCGAGGCUCAGCCCGACCCCCGGAGCAUCCUCGGCCACCCCUAUGAGAGCGAGGAUUUGGGGGUCCCUCCGAGAGCAUCCCCUGGAGCAAAGCACAAAGCGCCGGGGCUUGGUGAGACCCAGGCCGCUCCCAUCCCCUGCCCCAGGCACUCUGCACCCCAAAAUCUGGAUUUUCCAGCCGGGAGAAGGUGGAAGAAGUGAAUCCCUCACCCAAAGUGGCUUUGGGUCACUUGCGGGCCGAGAGAACAGCGAGGAUGGACGCGCUCGGCCGUGCCCAAACUUUGGGCGCUCGGCACGGCCCGGCCCCGGUACCGGGAGCCGCUCCCCAAAGGGCGCGGUGCCCUCAGCCCGCCCCGGUAACAAAAACCCGAGAAUUCGGAAUAAAACACGCGCGGAGGGCCCGAGCCGGGCUCCGAGCGCUCCAACCCCGGCCCCAGGGAGUGUUUUAAAGUUGAAGUGA